rnacentral:rRNA from 1 species
CAGCCGCCGCGGUAAUACCGGCGGCCCGAGUGGCGGCCACUAUUAUUGGGCUUAAAGCGUCCGUAGCCGGGUUGGUUAGUCUCCCGGGAAAUCUGGCCGCUUAACGGUCAGAAUUCCGGGAGAUACUGCCAGCCUAGGGACCGGGAGAGGCCGAGGGUAUUCCCGGAGUAGGGGUGAAAUCCUAUAAUCCCAGGGGGACCGCCAGUGGCGAAGGCGCCCCGCUGGAACGGGUCCGACGGUGAGGGACGAAGGCCAGGGGAGCAAACCGGAUUAGAUACCCGGGUAGUCCUGGCUGUAAAGGAUGCGGGCUAGGUGUCGGGUGAGCUUCGAGCUCGCCCGGUGCCGUAGGGAAGCCGUUAAGCCCGCCGCCUGGGGAGUACGGCCGCAAGGCUGAAACUUAAAGGAAUUGGCGGG